AAAGGAUGGUGUGCAGGUUGGUGCUGCCCAGGAAGGGACAGGAUGCAACAGGCUCCAGCAGGCGGGCGCAAGGUGGAAAGGCUGCUCCAAGCACUGCAGCUGAGACCACCAGCGCACAGGAGAUGUUUUGGAGACCACGCCCAAACAGAAGUGCAGAGAUCUCCUGGUCUAAAUUUCAGACUCUGAGAUGAAGGGAUCAUUGCCCAGAAAGGACAGUUUGCCCCAAUCACACAGCUAACAGGGCUGGUGACAAGGUUUGGAUUCACAUCUGCCAGACUCCAGAUUCUACGCUCUUUCAUUUAGCUGAAGUCUCCCGGAGAUCAAGACAUAGCCCAGGAGAAGGAAGCAGUCCAGGGAAACGUAGGACAGGAAGAAUAUUAGGUGAAGGGUAACGGCCACACUGAGCAUCAAGGCUGUCCCUCUGGCUGGAUCUGCAAAGAGUGAGCAUCGUGGUUGGUCUCAUGUUAACACCUCCUACCUGAACAGCCCAUGGCUUUUCUGCUCCAGGACCUUGGCACCUGAUCCCAUGGCUCAGCAUUGGAUCACCCCAGAUCCAGUGAGGUGGGGAAAAGCCCAAAGCCUCUACAGAUUCACAGAGUGUGAGGAGUGAGCCUCUAUGACUCAUGUCAGUGCCUGACCAGAAAGGGGGCUCCAGGUAACUUAAAACCCUCCUCUUUGACAGGAUCUAGAUGAAGGUCUCACUGGUCCUGCCGUCUCACUUCUGCAAGGACUCUUGGUGGCUAGAAUCCAGCCCCACAUCCAAAAGUCUGAACUAAAAUAGUUAGAUUUUUCACAGAGUUGAUUGGUUCCACCCUAAAGCUGCCUGCUAUUCUCUAGUUCUAAUACCUGAACCAGAGUA